rnacentral:rRNA from 1 species
CGGUACGUACUGGUAUUGUUGGUUUCUCCCUUCUGACGAACCAUGAUGUCAUUUAUUUGGUGUUGUGGGGAAUCAGGACUGUUACUUUGAAAAAAUUAGAGUGUUUAAAGCAGGCUCACGCUUGAAUACAUUAGCAUGGAAUAAUGAAAUAGGACGUUUGAUUCUAUUUUGUUGGUUUCUAGGAUCGACGUAAUGAUUAAUAGGGAUAGUUGGGGGCAUUAGUAUUCAAUUGUCAGAGGUGAAAUUCUUGGAUUUAUUGAAGACUAACUACUGCGUAAGCAUUUGCCAAGGAUGUUUUCAUUAAUCAAGAACGAAAGUUAGGGGAUCGAAGACGAUCAGAUACCGUCGUAGUCUUAACCAUAAACUAUGCCGACUAGGGAUCGGAUGAUGUUAAUUUUUUAAUGACUCAUUCGGCGCCUUACG